CCCUACAGGAGGCUCCAAUCCUACUCAGUAAUAAAGGCUGCAGGGUGUAAGAUAAAAUCAGAUGUCUAAUAAAAAAUGAGAUUCUCAUCACACAUUUCCCACCAUCCAAGUGUGAAUGACAUCACUG